AUACGGAGGAUCCGAGCGUUAUCCGGAUUUAUUGGGUUUAAAGGGUGCGCAGGCGGGAGAUUAAGUCGGCGGUGAAAUUUUGCCGCUCAACUUUAAAAGUGCCUUCGAAACUGGGUUCCUUGAGUGUAGAUGAAGGAGGCGGAAUUUGUGGUGUAGCGGUGAAAUGCAUAGAUAUCACGAGGAACUCCGAUUGCGCAGGCAGCUUACUAAACUACUACUGACGCUCAGGCACGAAGGCGUGGGGAUCAAACAGGAUUAGAUACCCUGGUAGUCCACGCAGUAAACGAUGAUUACUAGCUGUUUGCGAUACAAUGUAAGCGGCUGAGCGAAAGCGUUAAGUAAUCCACCUGGGGAGUACGUUCGCAAGAAUGAAACUCAAAUGAAUUGACGGGG
rnacentral:rRNA from 1 species